rnacentral:misc_RNA from 1 species
UUUCCGUAGGUGAACCUGCGGAAGGAUCAUUCAUAAUAAGUGUUUUAUGGCACUUUUUUAAAUCCAUAUCCACCUUGUGUGCAAUGUCAGGGUUGAUUUUUCUCUCGAGAGGAUCAACCCCAAACAUCAACUAUAUCUCAACUCUCUGUCUGAAAAAUAUUAUGAAUAAAACAAUACAAAAUACAACUUUCAACAACGGAUCUCUUGGCUCUC